rnacentral:rRNA from 1 species
AGAUUGAACGCUGGCGGCAUGCUUUACACAUGCAAGUCGAACGGUAACAGGCCGCAAGGUGCUGACGAGUGGCGAACGGGUGAGUAAUGUAUCGGAACGUGCCCAGUCGUGGGGGAUAACGCAGCGAAAGCUGCGCUAAUACCGCAUACGGUCUAUGGAUGAAAGGCGGGGGACCGUAGGGCCUCGCGCGAUUGGAGCGGCCGAUAUCAGAUUAGGUAGUUGGUAGGGUAAAGGCUCACCAAGCCAACGAUCUGUAGCUGGUCUGAGAGGACGACCAGCCACACUGGGACUGAGACACGGCCCAGACUCCGUA